CCCCUACAGCUCCCGAAUCUGCAAAAUAACAACUAAACCCAGUAAAAAUGCUUCUAAAAGACUCGAGAAUACAACAAUUUAAACCCACGUAUAUCCAAUUCAUGGGUUUAUUACCCCAUCAUCAAAUACCCCCAAAUUUAAAUCGUUGUUUGUCCUCAAGCAACAAAACACAAGACAACACAAAAAACUAAACAAACAAUACAAAUGCACCUAAAACUAUCUACAUGUUUAUAAUUCCAGCAAUCGAAUAACACAUCGUAUAUUCAUUAGGCCUCAAAAAAAUCACAAUAACACGCUAGUAACUCAUAUCAAGACAACUCAAUAAUAUCCCAACAAUCAACAAAUCUAAAUCUGUUAUUACUGAUAUCGUGCGUGUGUGUUCAACAACCAUGCUAAUCAAUGAAAAGCAAAAUAUGAAACAUAAUAGAUUUCUUAGAAGGCAUCAUACAGUGCAAACUCGAGAACUCCUCAAAUAAACUAGAUUUGGCUAAAAUCAAACAAUUACCAAAGUUCAAGGGUCAAAAUGGAAUACUUAUGCUUUAUAUAUAUAUAUAUAUAUAUAUAUAUAUAUAUAUAUUUAUGGCUGUGCAAUGUCCUAUUCCCUUAGGCUUUUCAAUGCUACCUUAACGAGCUUUCGACCAACGACUCCCAAGCCAUUAAGACCUUAGGGCGCUAGGUGUAAAGACAAUCCCCUCGGGCUUACUUACUCAAGUAACAAAGGCCACAAAACUAGACAAGCAUGCCAUGGUGUUUAUUCAUUUUUUUUAUAGCUUAUAUACUCCAAAUAUUUUCCCCCCAAACUUGAAUUUAUGUCUAAAUUCAGCCAUCACUAGUUAUUCAUAUUGUUCUUUCAUUCCACUAACAUUUAUCCUUUAGAACUUUAUUAUCUAUCCAUUUAAACUUUCUCAGCUAACAAGGUCGUUUCUUAAUAAGUGCUAUCAUGAUAACAUCGGUUUCGAACAGAUAAAGAUUUAAAUUAUGUCAAGAAAAUCACAUCACCAUCUUAACAAUCCUUACUAGACUUGUUCAUGCAAUUUCAAUUUCAUCAUUGGCCCCGAAUAUACUUAAACUAUUAAAUAGCUAAAAUUUUAUGAAAUCCUAAAUGCAACACAUAACAAAAAAAAAUUAAAAACAUACUAUCCACAAACAUGACAUCUACUAAUGCAAAUAAAAAUUAAACUACCCCCAAACUUAUAACGAGCAAUGUCCUCAUGCGAAAAAUAUAACAGUAUAGAACAGAGGACUUCCCUGACGAGCUUAUUCCUUGGGUGCAGCAUCAUCAUCUUCUCUCAUCUCUUGAUCAGAAGGGGGAAACACAUGCAAAACAAGAGCAGUAGGGAAUUGGCUAAGAUUCACGCCCGGGUACAAUUGAGCAUUCAUAGCAUUCUGGACGGCGAAUUGGUCGACUAAAAAUUUAUAUAUCACAUCUUGAAGUUCAGACAGGCGGACAUUCUGGGAUUCGAGAUUAUAGAACCAACCAUCAAUUUCCCGCUGGAAGGCCUCAGGAACAACACCACGGUGAGCUGCAGAAGAAGGACCAUAUGUGGGUGGAGCCGAAGGUUGUGAAGCUUAUGGAGCUUCAACUUGGGGAAUUAUAAAACCCAAUCCCCUAGGGUGGUUUUCCCCACCAGUCCAUACUCUAUACCUACUGAUCAGCUUAUGGUCCAACACCGGCAUGUGGGUUUAAAUCAUCUCAUCCGACUUCCAUUCGACCUCAAAUUUUGCACAUAACACACAAAUGAGAGAUGGAUGGGGUAACCCUCCUGUGGUUCCUCUUCGUGCAGCUCGCAGAAUGGAUUGCUGAAUGACGAGGCCAACAUCAAUCUUUAAACCUUGAAUAAUGGAAUACAGCAAUACAACCCUCUCCUUGGUGACAUGGCUCACAUGCGUGCACGACAUAAGCUUAGCGCAUAUAAAUGCAUACCAAGCCUUUCCAUAUAAGUUGAGGUGUGAAAGUGGGAAUGUCAUGCUGCCUCGUUUAUGCAAUAUCCAUGUGGUGCCCGAUUGACAAAGCUCACGUAUUAUGGUUUCAUAAUCUGGUCCUUGACUCACAAGACUUGCAUACUUGUUAUUGUGUCCCUCUAACGACAGUUGGUAGCACCCGUUAAUGUCUUCUUUGCCAAAUUCAACAGUCUUGCCUCGCACAUACACCCCAUAGUGGAAAUGCUCUGAAACGUUGGCGUAGAACUCUUUGACGACUGCAAUUACUAUUGGGUCGGGUUGUGCGGUGAGUGUGAACCAAUUCCUCUCAGCAAUCAUUACCGCCAUGUCCCCAUCCUUUGAUUGAUCGGGCCUUAAACCGCAUUCAGGGUCAAGAGAGCGGGUAGCCAUACGGUUAUAACAUUCGUGAGCCGCUGCACUAAUGAAAUGGCGGAUGUCAAAUUUUGGAGGAGCCGAAGCUGAUCUCGAACCUUCUCCUCGUUAACGCUUUGAGGCCAUUAGAAAAUUCUGCAAGGAAUGCACAUGCACACCUGCUAGAAUUUGGGCAUAAAUCGAAUACUGACAUACGUACCCAUAACACUACCCCCAAACUUCUAAAUAAAUGUGUGCUAUGUAUUAUGAUUGGGGGUGUGGGGAGACACAGAGUAGCAUGAAAGUACAAAAUUGCCCGAUUAAUCGUCGCUAAUAUACAAAUAUUACAAUUGGCAAAAGAAGUACAAGGUACACCCCAAAAAUGUGACAUGUAGAAUCAUAUUAUGGCCAACGACUGCAUACAUUCGGUACAUGAGUAGCGUAAAAAUAUGUAGGCUAAAAUUUUGAGGAAUUACCAUCAAGUAGUCAAUGUAUGUGCAAAUCCGACAAAACAAUAGUCCCGUAGAAAUUUUACUCUAAGUAAGCAUCAAUACAAUUUAGCCCCCCCCCCAACACUAAUGAUAUUUCCAUUUAACAGUAGUCCUAUGGUAUUUGAAUGGCAAGAAUGCAAGUACAAUCAGUGUUGGAUAUGGCGUUGUGCGCAUUGAACAAAGAAUAUUGAGUUAGGACAAAUACCGAACACCUUGUGGGCGGGUUAUAUUUUUCUUUGAAUCACCACUAUUUUCCUAACAAUUCACACCCCAAACUUCAAUUAUCUUUUAGUAUAUCAUAUAUGUGUGACAUCUCAAUCAAAGUGAUUCACAUGCAAGCCAUAUGAGAUAUUCAAAAUCAGAAGAAUGAAAAGCUGUACUCUAGAUGUAGGAGAAGGUGACUCAAGUUAGAUACUUACUCUCUAAAUCGUAAAAAUUGCAGGCACCAGCAAGAGAAACAUAAAACACACGGCUAAGAAGAUUCAGUGCAACAAAGAUUUGAGGAUAUUGCAAGACAUACCUUGGGUUUUGAAAGAGUUAACCAAAUUCGCAAAUUAGUGACUGAAUCAAAUUGUGCUGUCACAACAGAUGUGCAGGUUAUAUAUUGUUAUAUGGGGCUGGUCAGUUAUCAAAGAAUAGAAACGGCUAAAACAUUUAUAGAUGGUGGAAGGAGUUGGAUGGUUAGAGGAGUGUGAACCAAGAAUGUGUAUUUAAUUGUCAAACCUGGCCCUUCAGCGCCUGGGCGAUGGGAUUUACACACUGAAGAGCGCCGGGGCGCUGAGAUGUAGGCUUAUUCUAGUGCUGAGGCACUGGAAUGUAGAAACAGAUGGACACCCCUAGCGAUGGGGCGCUGUAAGUGUAUUGAAACCGAGCGUCGGGGCGCUGAUAGACAGAAACGUUGGAGCUGCUCAGCGCCGGGGCCCUAAUGGCUUGCUUAUGUUGGGCGUCGGGGCACUGCAGGGUUGUUGGGCCUUCUGUGCUGAUGCGCUGGGGCGCUAAUGGACACUGCUCCUCUUCUGUGGUCUGUUUAUUGUGACUUGUUUAGCCCGUUUCUUGCCACUUUGUUCAAUUAUUUCUUUAGCCUGACCCUUAUAAACAAGUGAACACUGGAAUAGGCAGGAAAAUUAUGAAGAAUAUUAGUCUAAUACAGUAUACUAUGAAAUGG
rnacentral:lncRNA from 1 species